UAUGAGCACAAUAACGAGCUGGUGACU
rnacentral:piRNA from 1 species